rnacentral:rRNA from 1 species
GAUCAUACCAGCUUAAUGCACCGGAUCCCGUCAGAACUUUGCAGUUAAGCGCGCUUAGGCUAGAGUAGUACUGGGAUGGGUGACCUCCCGGGAAGUCCUAGUGUUGCACCCU